UAUAUUAAAGUUGUUGCAGUUAAAAAGCUCGUAGUUGGAUUUCUGGUACAACGCGCCUGGCCCGCUUUUAGUGAGUGCCGGUGCGCGUUUGCCAUCCUUCUAGAUAACGUUUCUACCUGGGCAACCGGGCCGGACUCGCGAUCUAGAUCUUUUACUUUGAAAAAAUUAGAGUGUUUAAAGCAGGCUUUUGCUGUGAAUACAUUAGCAUGGAAUAAUAAUCUAGGACUUCGGUUCUAUUUUGUUGGUUUCUAGUACUGAAGUAAUGAUUGAUAGGGAUAGUUGGGGGUGCUAGUAUUGGCCGGCCAGAGGUGAAAUUCUUGGAUUCGGUCAAGACUAACAUAUGCGAAAGCAUUCACCAAGGAUGUCUUCUUUAAUCAAGAACGAAAGUUGGGGGAUCGAAGACGAUCAGAUACCGUCGUAGUCUCAACCAUAAACUAUGCCAACUAGGGAUGGGUGAACGUUGUUUUUCUGACUUCAUCUGCACCUUAUGAGAAAUCAAAGUCUUUGGGUUCCGGGGGGAGUAUGGUCGCAAGGCUGAAACUUAAAG
rnacentral:rRNA from 1 species